rnacentral:rRNA from 1 species
UAAUGAGGCGAACCGGGGGAACUGAAACAUCUAAGUACCCCGAGGAAAAGAAAUCAACCGAGAUUCCCCCAGUAGCGGCGAGCGAACGGGGAGCAGCCCAGAGCCUGAAUCAGUAUGUGUGUUAGUGGAAGCGUCUGGAAAGGCGCGCGAUACAGGGUGACAGCCCCGUACACAAAAAUGCACAUGCUGUGAGCUCGAUGAGUAGGGCGGGACACGUGGUAUCCUGUCUGAAUAUGGGGGGACCAUCCUCCAAGGCUAAAUACUCCUGACUGACCGAUAGUGAACCAGUACCGUGAGGGAAAGGCGAAAAGAACCCCGGCGAGGGGAGUGAAAAAGAACCUGAAACCGUGUACGUACAAGCAGUGGGAGCACGCUUAGGCGUGUGACUGCGUACCUUUUGUAUAAUGGGUCAGCGACUUAUAUUCUGUAGCAAGGUUAACCGAAUAGGGGAGCCGAAGGGAAACCGAGUCUUAACUGGGCGUUAAGUUGCAGGGUAUAGACCCGAAACCCGGUGAUCUAGCCAUGGGCAGGUUGAAGGUUGGGUAACACUAACUGGAGGACCGAACCGACUAAUGUUGAAAAAUUAGCGGAUGACUUGUGGCUGGGGGUGAAAGGCCAAUCAAACCGGGAGAUAGCUGGUUCUCCCCGAAAGCUAUUUAGGUAGCGCCUCGUGAAUUCAUCUCCGGGGGUAGAGCACUGUUUCGGCAAGGGGGUCAUCCCGACUUACCAACCCGAUGCAAACUGCGAAUACCGGAGAAUGUUAUCACGGGAGACACACGGCGGGUGCUAACGUCCGUCGUGAAGAGGGAAACAACCCAGACCGCCAGCUAAGGUCCCAAAGUCAUGGUUAAGUGGGAAACGAUGUGGGAAGGCCCAGACAGCCAGGAUGUUGGCUUAGAAGCAGCCAUCAUUUAAAGAAAGCGUAAUAGCUCACUGGUCGAGUCGGCCUGCGCGGAAGAUGUAACGGGGCUAAACCAUGCACCGAAGCUGCGGCAGCGACGCUGAUGCGUUGUUGGGUAGGGGAGCGUUCUGUAAGCCUG